rnacentral:rRNA from 1 species
GGGCGGAAAGGCGAAAGGUCGUCAUGUCUCCUGGCCGCCAUGGACAGGCCGCGGGAAUUCGAUUAGAGUUUGAUCCUGGGUCCAUUAAAAGAACGCUGGCGGCAUGCCUAACACAUGCAAGUCCAACGGCAGCACAGUGAUGUACUCGUACAUUAUGGGUGGCGAGUGGCGGACGGGUGAGUAAUACGUAGGGAUCUGCCUUAUAGAGGGGGACAACUCGGGGAAACUCGAGCUAAUACCGCAUGAAGCCUAAGGGUGAAAGUAUGGGACCGCAAGGCCAUACACUAUAAGAUGAACCUACGUCGGAUUAGCUAGUUGGAAGGGUAAAGGCCUCCCAAGGCGAUGAUCCGUAGCUGGUCUGAGAGGAUGGCCAGCCACACUGGGACUGAGACACGGCCCAGACUCCUACGGGAGGCAGCAGUGGGGAAUAUUGGACAAUGGGGGCAACCCUGAUCCAGCAAUGCCGCGUGUGUGAAGAAGGCCUGCGGGUUGUAAAGCACUUUAUUUGGGGAGGAAGGGUUUUAUUCGAAUAGAGUAGAACAUUGACGUUACCCAAAGAAUAAGCACCGGCUAACUCUGUGCCAGCAGCCGCGGUAAUACAGAGGGUGCGAGCGUUAUUCGGAAUUACUGGGCGUAAAGGGUGCGUAGGUAGUUUGUUGAGUUGUAUGUUUAAAUCCCUGUGCUUACCCUGGGAAUGGCUUAUGAUACUUGGCGAUCUAUAGUCGGGUUGAAGGGAAAUUGUAUUUUCCGUUUGUAUCGGUUUAAAUGGCUUAUAAAUCAAAAGGUAAUCCACGUGGCUAAUGGGGUGUAUCCUU